AUUGAACGCUGGCGGCAGGCUUAACACAUGCAAGUCGAGCGGGGUGAUGGUGCUUGCACUAUCACUUAGCGGCGGACGGGUGAGUAAUGCUUAGGAAUCUGCCUAUUAGUGGGGGACAACAUCUCGAAAGGGAUGCUAAUACCGCAUACGUCCUACGGGAGAAAGCAGGGGAUCACUUGUGACCUUGCGCUAAUAGAUGAGCCUAAGUCGGAUUAGCUAGUUGGUGGGGUAAAUGCCUACCAAGGCGACUAUCUGUAGCGGGUCUGAGAGGAUGAGCCGCAACACUGGGACUGAGACACGGCCCAGACUCCUACGGGAGGCAGCAGUGGGGAAUAUUGGACAAUGGGGGGAACCCUGAUCUAGCCAUGCCGCGUGUGUGAAGAAGGCCUUAUGGUUGUAAAGCACUUUAAGCGAGGAGGAGGCUCUUUUGGUUAAUACCCAAGAUGAGUGGACGUUACUCGCAGAAUAAGCACCGGCUAACUCUGUGCCAGCCGCCGCCGUAA
rnacentral:rRNA from 1 species